AUACGUAUGGGGCAAGCGUUGUUCGGAAUUAUUGGGCGUAAAGGGCGUCUAGGCGGGGGAUUAAGUUAGAUGUGAAAGCCAUGGGCUCAACCCAUGAACUGCAUCUAAGACUGGUUCUCUUGAGUUCGGGAGAGGAGAGCGGAAUUCCAGGUGUAGCGGUGAAAUGCGUAGAUAUCUGGAAGAACACCAGUGGCGAAGGCGGCUCUCUGGCCUAGAACUGACGCUGAAGCGCGAAAGCGUGGGGAGC
rnacentral:rRNA from 1 species